GAAAUCGGUUGGGAUAAUACCCCAGCUGGAUGAUGGUGCCGGAAUAAGAAGCACCGGCUAACUACGUGCCAGCAGCCGCGGUAAUACGUAGGGUGCGAGCGUUUAAAGAAGCUGAAUGGGCCCAAAGCGUGCGCAGGCGGUUUGGGGAGACAGGCGUGAAAUCCCCGGGCUUAACCUGGGAACUGCGCUUGUGACUGGAAGGCUAGAGUACGGCAGAGGGGGGUGGAAUUCCACGUGUAGCAGUGAAAUGCGUAGAGAUGUGGAGGAACACCGAUGGCGAAGGCAGCCCCCUGGGCCGAUACUGACGCUCUUGCACGAAAGCGUG
rnacentral:rRNA from 1 species